GGGCUUGUAGUCUAGUGGUUAUGACGUCGCCUUCACACGGCGAAGGUCGGCGGUUCGAAUCCGCCCGAGCCCA
rnacentral:tRNA from 1 species